GCAGGUGUGGCGGAAUGGCAGACGCAGCAGACUCAAAAUCUGCCGGUGGUAACAUCGUGCGGGUUCAAGUCCCGCCACCUGCA
rnacentral:tRNA from 11 species